rnacentral:rRNA from 1 species
AACGAACGCUGGCGGCAGGCCUAACACAUGCAAGUCGAACGUGAAGCCACCUUCGGGUGGUGGAAAGUGGCAGACGGGUGAGUAACGCGUGGGAACGUGCCUUUCGGUUCGGGAUAACCCAGGGAAACUUGGGCUAAUACCGGAUACGCCCUCCGGGGGAAAGAUUCAUUGCCGAAAGAUCGGCCCGCGUCGGAUUAGCUAGUUGGUGGGGUAAAAGCCUACCAAGGCGACGAUCCGUAGCUGGUCUGAGAGGAUGACCAGCCACACUGGGACUGAGACACGGCCCAGACUCCUACGGGAGGCAGCAGUGGGGAAUAUUGGACAAUGGGCGCAAGCCUGAUCCAGCCAUGCCGCGUGGGUGAAGAAGGCCCUAGGGUUGUAAACCCCUUUCAGCGGGGAAGAUAAUGACGGUACCCGCAGAAGAAGCCCCGGCUAACUCCGUGCCAGCCGCCGCCGUAA